rnacentral:lncRNA from 1 species
AAAAGAGUUACAGUAAGCCACAGUUAAUUUAUUAUUGAAGAAAGAAGAAUUUUUAAAAUAAAUGUAGCGUGGUCUGAGUGUACAGUGUUUACAGAGUCUACAGUGUUGUACAGUCAUGUCCUAGGCCUUCACAUUCACUCACCACUCACUCACUUGCACACCCAGGGCAGCUUCCUGUCCUGCAAACCACAUUCAUGGUAAGUGCCCUGUCCAGGUGUACCACUUUUUAUCUUUUCUACCAUAUUUUUACUGUACAUUUUCCAUGUUUAGAUAAGUUUAGAUACAGAAAUACUUACUAUUGUGUUCCAAUUGUUUACAGUAUUUAGUAGAGUAACCUGCUGUACAGAUUUGUAGCCUAGGAGUAAUAGGCUAUACCAUAUACUAGGUGUGUAGUAGGCUACACCAUCUAGGUUUGUGUAAGUACACUCUAUGUGGUUUGCACAAUGACAAAAUUGUCUGAGGACAUAGUUCCAUCAGGUUUAACCUCACAACCUUGCACAUUUCUGUAGUUAUUCCAGAUAUGAAGUUCUGUUAAGUUAGUCUCCUAGCAAGCUGUCCAUUAAUUCUGAAUUCAGACCAAAGCUUAGUUCUUUAGCUCUUCACAAUAAAUCUUGCUGCUGCUCACUCUUUGGGUCUGCACUACCUUUACGAGCUGUAAAUUAAAUAACACAACUGAUACAAUUUUUAAUCUUCAAAUGUUCCAAUCAUGUUUUUUCUUUCCUGCCACGGCUAGCGAAUAAUCUUUGUAGUUUUCUAUUACCUUAUUUUACUUGCUAACUCCUGAAUUCUUUAAGCCAAAAGCCCUGAAUUUGAUGGUUUUGAAGAUCCCUUUGAAAUCGAAAUUCUAGAAUCAUAUGCCAUAGAUAGAGCACCAUAAACGUGCUGAGAACACUUACUUUAGUCUACAACUGGGAAAAAUCAUCUAACACAAAGCUAUUUUAUAAAAAAGUGUUGAAUAUCUCAUGUAAUUUAUUGAAAACUGUACUGAAAGUGAAAAACAGAAUGGUUGUUUGGGUACUCAAAAUACAAUUUCUAUUGAAUAUGGAUCAUUUUUGCACCAUCUUAAAGUCAACAACGAUUAACUUGAGGACCAUCUGUAUGGAUUAAGAUAUACAUAACCUUGGUUUAGAAUCAUUUUCAUGCUCUACUACUCUACUCCUACUUUUUGUUUUCUCUGAGUGGGUAUUAUUCCAGACCAUGUCAUAGACCUGCUCAGCUCAGUGUUUCCCCCUUUCAUGGAUUACACUCAAUUAUAGCAAAAAUUUGUUCCCACAUUUGUAAAAAGUACAGCUUUUUGAUUAAUUCCCAGGUAAAUAAAAAUUGCAAAAUACAUGCAAAAGAAAAACAGGAAUUGAAAACAGUACCUGGAAAAAUUCUAAGUUACCUGCAAUCGCUAUCUACAGAUAAAAAUAUGAUAAUAAAUUUUAUUUUUUUGUAUUAACUUCUCUGAAAUGAGUGAGUAUUAAUCUUAGAAAACAUAAUCACAAUCUUCUAUGAUAAAAAUUUCUUUCAGCUCUGAGUCUAUAAAUAUCAACUAAAUGCAUGGAAGUACUGUAAUUUCUAGAAGGGGCUCACAAAUGUUGAUCCUAUUCAGGAACUUUUGGGUCUUCCCAAGUUCUAGCGGGAAAUAUUUAGCUGUUGUUACUGUGCCUAGAACUAGUUGAGGAUAGUCUGAAACUCAGGCAUUUGACUGCAAGAAACUUCUAGCAGCUCUUUCCACAAAGACAUUUUAUCAUUGGCUUUGGAAUUAAUUGUUAUAGUGUGAGGACCGUAGGGAUGCAAAUGUAAAGUCACUUUCACUUUCAGGGACUAACUAAAGUUCUGUUACCAAAGAACAAAAAGUUACCCAUUUUGCUUGUAACUGAAAUAAUAUAACCAUAUCCAAUAUAUUUAUUCAUUGUACAGGUAAUUAUUAGGCACCCAAUAUGUCUCAGGCAUCGUUUAGGCAGUUGAGAUACGUCAGUUAAAGAGAAAGAAAAUGCAUAAGAAACCCUUUAUUGAAGGCUACACAAUCCAAACAUGUUGAGGGUUAAAUGUUACUUUGUACAAUCUUUCCUCACACUGUCUACCUGCUAUAUUUCACUAAAGAACAAUGAGAAUUUCUUGCUUUUCUAGUUUCAUGUUUUGGGAAUAGCUCAAUUUUUCAGCAAUGCAGAAGUCA